UACGUAGGGGGCAAGCGUUAUCCGGAUUUACUGGGUGUAAAGGGAGCGUAGACGGCAGGGCAAGUCUGGAGUGAAAGGCAGGGGCCCAACCCCUGGACUGCUCUGGAAACUGUCCGGCUGGAGUGCAGGAGAGGUAAGUGAAAUUCCUAGUGUAGCGGUGAAAUGCGUAGAUAUUAGGAGGAACACCAGUGGCGAAGGCGGCUUACUGGACUGUAACUGACGUUGAGGCUCGAAAGCGUGGGGAGCAAACAGG
rnacentral:rRNA from 1 species